CGAGUAUUAAAAAAUUAUUUUUUGACAAGAGUAUUAAAAAAUUAUAUUACUGAAUUUGUUAAAAAUGUCUUUUAUUUUACAUAGCCAUCCAUAUAAUUAUUGAUAUUUGAUAUCAUAAGAGAGAAUGAUAAUUUAUGUUUUUUUAAAUAUGAAUAUUUUUUUAUCUACAAGUCCUAAUUUGAACUUUAACUUAUCCACUUAUGUUCGUGAUUUUUUGAUUGCUAUUGUCGUUUUUGUAUACCCAAAAAAAGGAUGUGUUUGUCAAGAAGAUGAAUUUGAUUGGUUGAAGGUUUGGAAUACACAAUAUAUAAGCUCUUAUAUUCGAGACCCAUAACCAACUAGAUUCUUUUCAACCUUAGAUCCUCCCUAUUUAUUAACGCAUCAACGACUAGUAAUGUUCGUUGGAACCAGAACAUUGAUGAGCGUUGUCCGUAAUGGACUCUUCAUCACUCUCCAACGGCUCCAUUUCCUAACCUAUAAAAAUCACCUUUCACUACGAUUCAAGGUACACACUUUUCUCUCUCGAUACCUCUAAGUUUUUGCUCUCAUAUUGACUUGAACAUCAAAAUAUUUGCAAAUAUCAUCCUUCAACAUCCAUCUCGACGAAAGUUGUUCAAUCUUGACCAAUUCAUCUCAAUUGUGUAAGAUCAUAAAUUAUUAAUACAUGUGGAAUUUUGAAAAUGAUUUUGUUAAUUUCAUUUUUUCCCAAAGCUCUUCAUUCUUUUCUUUUGUUAAUUCCUUUUUUUUUUCCAAAGCCUCAUCUAACUUCUCAUUCAAACUCACAAACAAAUCCUAAAACAAUUUAAAUGAUGGAAUAUGAAAUUAAGACAUGCUAAAAUUAUAUAUUAUGUAUCUUUAUUAAAUGAUGUACUUUUUAAGAAAAAAUAGAGUGCAAAAAACAUCACAUGAUAGCAAUGUCAUUUCAUAACACCUUUAAAAAAUACAAUGUCAUUUUAAAUAUAUUGGCACCCAAAACUACCACAUAUAAUUUGCAACGACCUAAUAAAUACAUUAAACAUAUGAAUUUACAACGACCUAAUGAAAAUAGAAAGUAGACAAAUACAUCUUAAGGGAACUAGACCAAAACAAAGGAAAUAAACAUAUGAAUUUACAACAAACAACCGUCUCAUUAAAAAUCUUUACCUAAAAAAUUAAGUGGGAUAAAAUUGGAAGCAUCUCAACAUGAGGAGUGGAGAGAAUCUUCAACUAAUUGUGGAGGGAGGAACCCAUCAUAAAAUCAACACUUUAAUCACCCUCGAAAUAUCUCACUUUUGUUUGAGUAAGCGUCAAAAUUAAAGCAUUGGUUAUAUUGGUUUCUAUAGAUUUAUUGACUUAAUGAAGCAAUGAGAAAACACAUGAUGAUUUACACGUGAUUAAUUUGGCACCAUAAUCCUACGUCGAUUAUGAAGAUGCUUUAGAACGUAAUAUUCACUUUCACAAAUAAAAUCAAUUACAUAUUAAUAUUAGGAAGACAUUCAAAUUAUGUAUACUCUACAAACUGAAGUUCACCCGUUCAAGGGUAAUUAACAAUUGAGUCUCACACUACUAUUCUUAUCUUGCUAUUGGAUUGAGAUACGAUGUAACUUUACAAUACUAUUCUUUCCUUUCAAAUUAUUUCAAUUUUACACAUAAAUAAAAGUGUGCACUAAAUUUUUAAGUCAUUAUAUUUCACUAUUAAUUUAUGACAAUUGUUGGUAACCAAUAUAUAUGUUGAGUCACGAAGGAAGUUCGGGGGACCGUCCACAUUGAGGUUAGAAAAACCACAUUUGUGAGAGAGACACCACACUCAUACCUAAAACCUUAAGGUAAUGGAUUUAUAAGUCCUUUUACUUAUAAUGUGUUCAACCUUUACUCUUUUAUCCGAGGUGGAAUAUAUAUAUAAUGGAGACUUAUUAUUAGCAAAAAUAAAAUAAAAUGAUGAUGACAAUUUUGUAAACUUGUUAUACAUCUUCAUUAUUAUUUUUGUUUAAUCUAUAUGAAACAUCCUUUUAAAACGAAGGUAUUACCAUUCAUAAAAAGGGAGAGUAGCUUACAUUUGUGAAUGUUAUGUAGUUGGUAUUAAUUAUCUAGGAUUUUCAUGAAACUUCACCUUAUGAAAUAUCUUCAAAAUUCUAGUAAUCGAUUUCCCAACACAAAAUAUUAGGCCCCACGACACGAUUGGCAAAGGCAAACCUCCUCCACUAUGAAAGGGUUUGAUAAAUUAAGUCGACACACAUGGGUUGUGGGUAGCUCUUAUUUAAUGAAAAGCAUAUUGGAGUCGGUCAAGGAAAAGAAAGGACCAAAAUAAUCAAACCUUACCUUAGCUGCAUGAUAUGAUACGAUACCGAAAGUGUUGUGCUCUCCAUUCAUUUUCUUUUGGAAGAUUCUCAAUGAAAGAAAAAAGGAACUACAAAACAAGAACGACACGUAGUGUCCACGGAAGUGUGAUUGUUGUGAAAUUGAGAAAUUGGUAGCUACUAUUGACUAUUAAGCCAAAUAUUAUUCCUUUGGAUUGCUAUAGGCCUUUGCCGGUCACUAAUGACCCAAUUAUUUAAUUAAAGUACUUUUUAAACUCAAUUAAUUAAAGUACUUAGACUUAUACGAUAGUGUGACAUGAAUAUAUGUCCUUUUUAUUUAGACCAUGUUGUGUUCAAAUUAACUCCAAAUAUACAAAGGAGCAGCCUUUGUACUCCAUGUUAGCAAAUCCUUAUAAAUUUGUACUAGCCUUCAAACCUAAAAACGUGUUUUACAUGGUUAAUAUUUGGGGAUUAUGUUAGAAAGGAUCUCUAUAUAAUAUUUUCAAUCAUCAAUAUGGAAUAUUAAAUUUUAAAAGUAACAUUGAUCAAUAUAGCGUGACAUAAGUUAUAAAUAUUUGAACCUUUAACUAUUUGGUCAAGAGUUUGAUUUCUAAUUAGUAUGUAUGAAAAACAUUUGUCCCAAGAGGUCAAACCUUAAACAAUCUUUUGGUGUAAAAAGAAGUAGCAUGGAGUACAAGGCUGCCCCUUUGUAUCUUUGGAAUUCAUUCGUGAACACAACAUGGUAUAAAUAAAAUGGCAUCUAUACUUUAUCUUUUUUAGGGGA
rnacentral:lncRNA from 1 species